ACCCUUUAAUGUUUGAUGUUCUAACGUGGACCCGUAAUCCGGGUUGCGGACAGUGUCUGGUGGGUAGUUUGACUGGGGCGGUCUCCUCCUAAAGAGUAACGGAGGAGCACGAAGGUUGGCUAAUCCUGGUCGGACAUCAGGAGGUUAGUGCAAUGGCAUAAGCCAGCUUGACUGCGAGCGUGACGGCGCGAGCAGGUGCGAAAGCAGGUCAUAGUGAUCCGGUGGUUCUGAAUGGAAGGGCCAUCGCUCAACGGAUAAAAGGUACUCCGGGGAUAACAGGCUGAUACCGCCCAAGAGUUCAUAUCGACGGCGGUGUUUGGCACCUCGAUGUCGGCUCAUCACAUCCUGGGGCUGAAGUAGGUCCCAAGGGUAUGGCUGUUCGCCAUUUAAAGUGGUACGCGAGCUGGGUUUAGAACGUCGUGAGACAGUUCGGUCCCUAUCUGCCGUGGGCGCUGGAGAACUGAGGGGGGCU
rnacentral:rRNA from 1 species